AGACCCGAAACCCGGUGAUCUAGCCAUGGGCAGGUUGAAGGUUGGGUAACACUAACUGGAGGACCGAACCGACUAAUGUUGAAAAAUUAGCGGAUGACCUGUGGCUGGGGGUGAAAGGCCAAUCAAACCGGGAGAUAGCUGGUUCUCCCCGAAAGCUAUUUAGGUAGCGCCUCGUGAAUUCAUCUCCGGGGGUAGAGCACUGUUUCGGCUAGGGGGCCAUCCCGGCUUACCAACCCGAUGCAAACUGCGAAUACCGGAGAAUGUUAUCACGGGAGACACACGGCGGGUGCUAACGUCCGUCGUGAAGAGGGAAACAACCCAGACCGCCAGCUAAGGUCCCAAAGUCAUGGUUAAGUGGGAAACGAUGUGGGAAGGCCCAGACAGCCAGGAUGUUGGCUUAGAAGCAGCCAUCAUUUAAAGAAAGCGUAAUAGCUCACUGGUCGAGUCGGCCUGCGCGGAAGAUGUAACGGGGCUAAACCAUGCACCGAAGCUGCGGCAGCGAACGUAUCACCCAAGACAACUUUGCGGAGUUGACGAUUGACGGAGCGAAGCGACGUCAAAGCGUUCAUUAAAGUCGAGUUGGCUUAGGAAUACGUUCGUUGGGUAGGGGAGCGUUCUGUAAGCCUGUGAAGGUGUGUCGUGAGGCAUGCUGGAGGUAUCAGAAGUGCGAAUGCUGACAUAAGUAACGAUAAAG
rnacentral:rRNA from 1 species